GACGAACGCUGGCGGCGUGCUUAACACAUGCAAGUCGAACGGGCCUUGUCCCCUUUUUUUUGGGGGUGGGGUUAGUGGCGAACGGGUGAGUAACACGUGAGUAACCUGCCCCUCACUUCUGGAUAACCGCUUGAAAGGGUGGCUAAUACGGGGUGUUCUGGCCUGCUCGCAUGGGUGGGUUUGGAAAGAUUCGACCGGUUUUGGUUGUUUUGGUGGGGGAUGGGCUCGCGGCCUAUCAGCUUGUUGGUGGGGUGAUGGCCUGCCAAGGCUUUGACGGGUAGCCGGCCUGAGAGGGUGGGCGGUCACACUGGGACUGAGACACGGCCCAGACUCCUACGGGAGGCAGCAGUGGGGAAUAUUGCACAAUGGGCGCAAGCCUGAUGCAGCGACGCCGCGUGAGGGAUGGAGGCCUUCGGGUUGUGAACCUCUUUCGCCAGUGAAGAAGGUCCUGCUCUUUGUGGUGGGGUUGACGGUAGCUGGGUUAAUGAAGCGCCGGCUAACCACGUG
rnacentral:rRNA from 1 species